rnacentral:misc_RNA from 1 species
AAAGUCGUAACAAGGUUUCCGUAGGUGAACCUGCGGAAGGAUCAUUAACACGUAUCCAACGUUAAAACCCCCGUGAACCAAUGUCGUGCUCUCGUAGCCCAUGAUGAACAGCAAUCCUUGGUAAAUCAUUGUCUGAACAGGUUUUGAUUCAGGGACGUCUGUUUGAAAGGCUAGUUACGAAUGUUGCGCUAGUUUCAGAGACUUGGCUUCCCAAACAGUGAGUGUCUGACAGUGGCACUGGCUGCGAAGGAUAACGCUUUACGGUCGCUAGAGGUCGAUCACCGACCGGCGAGGCAAGUCUCGAGGGCUUCGGCUCCUUAAUAACCCCACAGUUUCCACUUAGGCUCGCGAUAAUACGCAGGCCCAAAAACCGAACAACUGUUAACAAUGGAUAUCUUGGUUCUC